GACGAACCGUGCGAACGUUAUUCGGAAUCACUGGGCUUAAAGGGCGCGUAGGCGGGUUGCCAAGUCUGUGGUGAAAUCCUCCAGCUUAACUGGAGAACGGCCGUGGAUACUGGCGACCUCGAGGGGGGUAGGGGCUUGCGGAACUGUGCGUGGAGCGGUGAAAUGCGUUGAUAUGCACAGGAACUCCGGUGGCGAAGGCGGCGAGCUAGACCCUUUCUGACGCUGAGGCGCGAAAGCCAGGGGAGCGAACGGG
rnacentral:rRNA from 1 species